AUUGAACGCUGGCGGCAUGCCUUACACAUGCAAGUCGAACGGCAGCACGGGAGCAAUCCUGGUGGCGAGUGGCGAACGGGUGAGUAAUAUAUCGGAACGUGCCCAGUCGUGGGGGAUAACGCAGCGAAAGCUGUGCUAAUACCGCAUACGAUCUAAGGAUGAAAGCGGGGGAUCGCAAGACCUCGCGCGAUUGGAGCGGCCGAUAUAAGAUUAGCUAGUUGGUGGGGUAAAGGCCGACCAAGGCGACGAGCUGUAGCUGGUCUGAGAGGACGACCAGCCACACUGGAACUGAGACACGGUCCAGACUCCUACGGGAGGCAGAAGUGGGGAAUUUUGGACAAUGGGCGCAAGCCUGAUCCAGCAAUGCCGCGUGCAGGAUGAAGGCCUUCGGGUUGUAAACUGCUUUUGUACGGAACGAAACGGCCCUUUCUAAUACAGGGGGCUAAUGACGGUACCGUAAGAAUAAGCACCGGCUAACUACGUGCCAGCAGCCGCGGUAAUAC
rnacentral:rRNA from 1 species